rnacentral:rRNA from 1 species
GCAGCCGCCGCGGUAAUACGAAGGGGGCUAGCGUUGCUCGGAAUGACUGGGCGUAAAGGGCGCGUAGGCGGAUUGUUUAGUUAGGCGUGAAAUUCCUGGGCUUAACCUGGGGACUGCGCUUAAUACAGGCAGUCUAGAGUGAGGAAGAGGGUUGUGGAAUUCCCAGUGUAGAGGUGAAAUUCGUAGAUAUUGGGAAGAACACCGAUGGCGAAGGCAGCCCCCUGGGCCAAUACUGGCGCUCAUGCACGAAAGCGUGGGGAGCAAACAGGAUUAGAUACCCCUGUAGUCCCUGUCUCUUAUAC